rnacentral:tRNA from 1 species
AAGGAUUUAAGUUAAUUAUAAACUAUUAACCUUCAAAGUUAAAAAUAGAGAAAAUUUCUAAGCCUUA